rnacentral:rRNA from 1 species
AGUGAACGCUGGCGGUAGGCCUAACACAUGCAAGUCGAACGGCAGCACAGUAAGAGCUUGCUCUUACGGGUGGCGCGUGGCGGACGGGUGAGGAAUACAUCGGAAUCUACUUUUUCGUGGGGGAUAACGUAGGGAAACUUACGCUAAUACCGCAUACGACCUACGGGUGAAAGCAGGGGAUCUUCGGACCUUGCGCGAUUGAAUGGGCCGAUGUCGGAUUAGCUAGUUGGCGGGGUAAAGGCCCACCAAGGCGACGAUCCGUAGCUGGUCUGAGAGGAUGAUCAGCCACACUGGAACUGAGACACGGUCCAGACUCCUACGGGAGGCAGCAGUGGGGAAUAUUGGACAAUGGGCGCAAGCCUGAUCCAGCCAUACCGCGUGGGUGAAGAAGGCCUUCGGGUUGUAAAGCCCUUUUGUUGGGAAAGAAAAGCAGCAGGUUAAUACCCCGCUGUUCUGACGGUACCCAAAGAAUAAGCACCGGCUAACUUCGUG